GGUUGAUAAAAUCUAAAUUUUUAACGAUGGAUGUCUAGGUUCCCAUAUCGAUGAAGAACGCAGCGAAAAUGCGAUAUGCAUUGUGAAUUGCAGAACCACGAAUCAUCAGAUAUUUGAAUGUAACUAACGCUGGCCAAACCAGCAUGUUUGGUUCAGUGUGCUCA
rnacentral:rRNA from 1 species